UUCGCCCUUAGAGUUUGAUCCUGGCUCAGAACGAACGCUGGCGGCAGGCUUAACACACGCAAGUCGAGCGCCCCGCAAGGGGAGCGGCAGACGGGUGAGUAACGCGUGGGAACGUACCUUUUGCUACGGAAUAACUCAGGGAAACUUGUGCUAAUACCGUAUGUGCCCUUCGGGGGAAAGAUUUAUCGGCAAAGGAUCGGCCCGCGUUGGAUUAGCUAGUUGGUGAGGUAAAGGCUCACCAAGGCGACGAUCCAUAGCUGGUCUGAGAGGAUGAUCAGCCACACUGGGACUGAGACACGGCCCAGACUCCUACGGGAGGCAGCAGAAGGG
rnacentral:rRNA from 1 species